AUAAGGUUAUUUGUUUUUCAAGUGUUGUACUUGUGUUUUCAGGUUUACUGGUUCAGGCUGCUGCAGCCUGGACAGAAACACCAGCUCUCACCUUAAAAACCAAACAGGAUUCAAAUGUCAACCAUUAAAUCACAGAGAGAAGAGACAGACGUGAAGACAUUUCCAGAAGGUCUUCAGCUGCCGUCAUCUUCUCCUCCUGCAGACACAAGAACACGUAUUAUGACAUGCGGCUUAAGACAAAGGAACUAUCCUAAAGCAGCCACCUGACCUCUGUUUUCCACAGACACAGUUCUAAACAGUGUUUGUGGGUCAGGUUAGAUUUUCAUUUUCGUAUGUUGCUAUUUCUAACAGUGCAAUAUCAGUACUCAGAUUCAAUCUAUUACUGUGUAUAAUUUUUAUAUCUUUUCUUGUACGUAUAAUGCCCUUUUCUAUAUUUGCUGUUGCAACACUGAAUUUCUCAAUUAUCAUAUUCAAAUAAAUACUUGUGAACACUGAAAAUUUUGCCAGUCUGUUUAAUGUUGUAUAAAAGUGAAUAUUUUUAGCUAGAGGCUAGGGUUAGGGUUAAGGCCUAGGCUUAGCCACAAUUAAAAUGUAUAAUUGCAAGCUGCAAGUAGAGAAUAUUUGGCAUUUCUGCAUUACAAAAUCACUUUUGUGAUAUUUAUUUGACGAUAGAGGAACUCAACUCAAAAGAUAUACUAUGACAUUUUUUGGUGGUUUUUGACCCCUUACUAUACUAUGACAUUUUUUGACCAUUUUUCAUGCCAUACUAUACUAUGACAUUUUUUGGUGGU